CUGCUGUGAUGACAUCUUAGGACACCUUUGGAUUCAAGAUGAAAACAAACUGUUAUUAAUCUGAGCAGC
ensembl:snoRNA SNORD58 Small nucleolar RNA SNORD58